CUGCGGAAAAACCGUGUUCACCCUCUGUCCUCUGAGGCAGAGGAGUCAGGAGGAGCCGGAACAUCAACUAAAUGCUGCCGUUCUAGGAACAAGACCAAACUACUUCGGAGCAACCGUAUUCACCCUGUUGUCUUAGGCAGAGGAACCAAGUAGAGUCGGGACAUCAUCCGAAUACUGCCAUUCGCCAGGGACACCAAUAAGCGCACCUCCAUCUGAGCACAAAACCAGGACAGUCAAGACCUAGACUGUAGACCUAGGCCUGAGGACAAGCAACUUUGUUCAAGUUGAUGAGAAGGGCCGUAAGAACAGCCACAUGGUUGAUGCUGCAACUCUGGUGACCGAACAAGACCUGAUCCCUGUGGUGGAUGUGACAAGGACUGGACAUAACCUUGUAAGGGGGUGCUUUGAUGAGGACUGUCAAAAGGAGUUUGUCAUCGAAGGACUGGAGGUUGAGAGUCAAUAUAACUGGGAAGAUUACCACCACUGAGCUGCUGAUAUAAUUAAUUUCCACGUGAGAGUUGGCUGACGAAUAACAUCAGAAGAAGCAGAAACAUCAGGCACGACCAGGGAGAAGAAGACUGUGUCACCACCAGUAAUAAU